rnacentral:rRNA from 1 species
ACAGCCAUACCAUGUUGAAUAUACAGGUUCUCGUUCGAUCACCGAAGUCAAGCAUCAUCGGGCGUGGUCAAUACUUGGGAGGGUGACCACCUGGGAACACUGUGUGCCGUU